AUACGGCUAUACCACGUUGAAAAAAUCGGUUGUUGUACGAUCGCCGAAGUUAAGCAACUUUGAGCGUGGUCAGCACCUAGAUGGGUGACCGCUUGAAAAUACCAACUGCUGUA